AAAUAAAAAUAUUUUAAUAAAACUUUUUAAAAUUGAUACAAUUGCUUAAACCUACUACACUGCUACAAUUGCUACAACUUGUGGAGACUCCGUGGAGAUCAAUGAUCUGGUACUGAGCUCUGCCAGUGGUGCCGUGGCGACGCCGUGGAGAUCGACGCUGUGGAGUGUUCUUCCAAGGAAUUUCUGCUGUUCAUUAUCAGGAUAUUAAGAAAAACAUAUCUGCGAUUUGUAUCCUUGAAUCGGACCGACUGUAGUAAGCUAUGGCAUAGUGAGCUUCAGACCGACAGUAGAAUUGCAAGUUGUGAGACCGAAUUUCAGCUCUCAAUUUGUGUUGGAAAGUCAGACCGAAUUUGCACUUCAAUUUCUCUCAAAUUUGCACUUCAAUUGCUUCAAUUUGGGGAUUUUAAGGGCCUGUUGGAGGGGACAUGUUUCAUUGGUAGGCCACAAUUAUGGGUUACCCAGACAACCCUUAUACUGGUGGUGUAUUUUUAGUUACUGUCCAUUUUCCUCCUGAUUAUCCAUUUAAACCUCCAAAGGUUGCUUUCAGGACAAAAGUUUCCCAUCCAAAUAUUAACAAUAAUGGCAGUAUAUGCUUGGACAUAUUGAAGGAGCAGUGAAGCCCUGCCUUAACUAUUUCCAAGAUAAACCUCCAAUCAAGGAACUUGAACAAUUUUUAGAAUUUCAGUUACCUUGGCAGUGGGCUCUAGCAUACAGUGAUCUUCCUCAUGGUCAUCGCCACAGAAAACAUGCCUCUCCAUCCCUGCAGUUCACUUUGAUGGGUCCAAGGCUAUAUGUCAACACUGUAAAGGUUGACUCCGGAAAUAGGCUAGUAACUGGAACUUGGUUAUACUUGGAAGGUAAAAAGAGUGAUCACCUGGCUAUCCAUCUUCAACAUCUAUCAACACUUCCUCAAAGUAUCCAACUAACAGAUGAUCUUAGCUAUGAGCCUGUGGAUGAACCAGUUGAACGAGGGUAUUUAGAACCUGUCAAAUGGAGCAUAUUUUCACAUGUUUGCACUGCACCAGUAGAAUACUACGGGACACGAAUAGAUGACUCUGCUUGUAUUGUGACCAAGGCCUGGUUUGAGGUGAAGGUUAUUGGAAUGAAGAAGGUCCUCUUCCUGAGGUUGGGAUUCUCGAUGGUCGCUUGUAAUGUUCCAAAUAGGUCGCUUGUAAUGUUCCAAAUAGGUCUCUUGUAAUGCCAUUUUAGGCUAUCUCGCCUUCUCCAGGUGUCCAAAAUGAAGAAAGAGAUGAAGAAAGUGAUGAGAUAUUGAUUACAUUUGCUUUUGGGUUUAAAUUACUAGCUUGUUCCAUAUUUUGUAUUAUGAGAUUAGUAAUGAAUGAUUUUGUUUUGUGAUGUGUUAUAAUUUAUUAUGUAUGAAAAUAAAAAUUUACAUUAAUAAGAGUGACUAUAUAAAUCAUUUCAAUUUAAUAAUA